rnacentral:rRNA from 1 species
AGAACGAACGCUGGCGGCAUGCCUAACACAUGCAAGUCGAACGAGAUCCUUCGGGGUCUAGUGGCGCACGGGUGCGUAACGCGUGGGAAUCUGCCCUUAGGUACGGAAUAACUCAGGGAAACUUGUGCUAAUACCGUAUGAUGUCUUCGGACCAAAGAUUUAUCGCCUAGGGAUGAGCCCGCGUAGGAUUAGCUAGUUGGUGGGGUAAAGGCCUACCAAGGCUACGAUCCUUAGCUGGUCUGAGAGGAUGAUCAGCCACACUGGGACUGAGACACGGCCCAGACUCCUACGGGAGGCAGCAGUGGGGAAUAUUGGACAAUGGGCGAAAGCCUGAUCCAGCAAUGCCGCGUGAGUGAAGAAGGCCUUCGGGUUGUAAAGCUCUUUUACCCGGGAAGAUAAUGACUGUACCGGGAGAAUAAGCCCCGGCUAACUCCGCGCCAGCAGCCGC